AGAGUUUGAUCAUGGCUCAGAGCGAACGCUGGCGGCAGGCCUAACACAUGCAAGUCGAACGGAUCCUUCGGGAUUAGUGGCGGACGGGUGAGUAACACGUGGGAACGUGCCCUUUGGUUCGGAACAACUCAGGGAAACUUGAGCUAAUACCGGAUGUGCCCUUCGGGGGAAAGAUUUAUCGCCAUUGGAGCGGCCCGCAUCUGAUUAGCUAGUUGGUGGGGUAAAGGCCCACCAAGGCGACGAUCAGUAGCUGGUCUGAGAGGAUGAUCAGCCACAUUGGGACUGAGACACGGCCCAAACUCCUACGGGAGGCAGCAGUGGGGAAUCUUGCGCAAUGGGCGAAAGCCUGACGCAGCCAUGCCGCGUGAAUGAUGAAGGUCUUAGGAUUGUAAAAUUCUUUCACCGGGGACGAUAAUGACGGUACCCGGAGAAGAAGCCCCGGCUAACUUCGUGCCAGCAGCCGCGGUAAUACGAAGGGGGCUAGCGUUGCUCGGAAUUACUGGGCGUAAAGGGAGCGUAGGCGGACUGUUUAGUCAGAGGUGAAAGCCCAGGGCUCAACCUUGGAAUUGCCUUUGAUACUGGCAGUCUUGAGUACGGAAGAGGUAUGUGGAACUCCGAGUGUAGAGGUGAAAUUCGUAGAUAUUCGGAAGAACACCAGUGGCGAAGGCGACAAACUGGUCCGUUACUGACGCUGAGGCUCGAAAGCGUGGGGAGCAAACAGGAUUAGAUACCCUGGUAGUCCAA
rnacentral:rRNA from 1 species